GUUCCCAUGCCGAACACAGAAGUUAAGCUCUUUAGCGCCGAUGGUAGUCGGACUUACGUUCCGCAAGAGUAGGACGUUGCCAGGC
rnacentral:rRNA from 1 species